rnacentral:lncRNA from 1 species
CGCUCAUGUGACAUAUUUGAUUUGAUUUGAAGGUAGCCUCGUACCGGUUAAAAACACGAAUGGAAGUAUGUGAAAGUAGUUUAGUGCCAUUUAUAUUUUGUCAAAUAUUGGUACAAAUAUUAAAAUAAAAUCCCGAUCUUUCUUAUACCUCUCAGAUACGCUUUAAAACAAACUUCCUUUAGAUAUUUUAUUUUUUGUUGUUGUUGACUAAAUCAAAAAGCUAAAUGAUUCUUGGUAUGACAAUCUUAAAACAAUUCCAUAUGUUAGUUUAGUAGAACCCUUGGCAUAGACUCUUAAUUAAGCUAGCGAUAUCUGGCCUGCAUCUCACUGUACCACAUCCGUGUCUGUGGUGGAAGGUGGCUGAGCUACAGGGUUUGGUAGAUGGGAUGCAGUUUAUGUCAGAAUUGACUUUUCGUAGCAGGUGUGUUUGUCAGACCAUGAUGUGACGUAUUUUCUCGGGAAAAUGUCUGCAGAGUCUAAACAGUUUUGUUUUGAUCUACCACACCCACAACACUGUCUGAAGGUAACCCAGCACUGACUGUCUGAAGGUAACCCAGCACUGACUGUCUGAAGGUAACCCAGUACUGGCUGUCUGAAGGUAACCCAGUACUGACUGUCUGAAGGUAACCCAGUACUGACUGUCUGAAGGUGACCCAGUACUGACUGUCUGAAGGUAACCCAGUACUGACUGUCUGAAGGUAACCCAGUACUGGCUGUCUGAAGGUAACCCAGUACAGACUGUCUGAAGGUGACCCAGUACAGGCUGUCUGAAGGUAACCCAGUACAGGCUGUCUGAAGGUAACCCAGUACAGGCUGUCUGAAGGUAACCCAGUACAGGCUGUCUGAAGGUGACCCAGUACAGGCUGUCUGAAGGUAACCCAGUACAGGCUGUCUGAAGGUAACCCAGUACUGACUGUCUGAAGGUAACCCAGUACUGACUGUCUGAAGGUGACCCAGUACUGACUGUCUGAAGGUAACCCAGUACUGGGCCGGAAAAUGAAUGGAAGUGAAUAGGUCAUUUCCACAUCAAAGGGUCAUUCCACUGUAAAACAAUUAUAAAUAAAUCCUGAGCUUUCUUACAGCGCUCAGAUAUAAGACAGACACCUCGAAACAUACUUUAAAAAAAAAAUGAAAUGUUGUUGACUAGCUGUUUGACCAUGUUUAGACACAUCUCAGAAUGUCCUCUCCUUUCGGGUGUCGUUAAAAAGGUCCUUGUUCGUUUGUUGAAUUUUCUCAGUCGAAUGAAAAAGCAUUUAGAAAUGUAUUCUAAACUCAG